rnacentral:misc_RNA from 1 species
UUUCCGUAGGUGAACUGCGGAAGGAUCAUUAAAAAUUGGUGACUGUAAUUAGGUUAACCCAUUAUAAUGCCUACCCUUUGUGAAUUUGUUUGUUAUGUAAAUUUUUGUCUAUCCUAAAGAAGGUUGGAUAAGUGUAAUAGCUUAAAAACUUUUUUUAGAAUGGCUUAAAGACUUUUUUUAAAAUUAAACUUUUGUAUUCAUUUGUCUAAAUUAAUUUUUAAUAAAUAUUUAAAAACAACUUUUGACAAUGGAUCUCUUGGUUCUCGCAACGAUGAAGACGCAGCAAAAUGCGAUAAGUAAUGUGAAUUGCAGAAUACGUGAAUCAUCAAAUCUUCGAACGCAUAUUGCACUUUUUUAGUUUACUAAAAAGUAUGUCUGUUUGAGUAUCAGUAAAAUAUUCUCAUAAAAUCAUUUGAUUUUAUGGUUAUGAGUGUUUUACAACGAUAAACAAGUUGUUUCACUUUAAAUGGAUUUAAUUGAAAUCGUCGUUGGAACGAUUUUAAUUUUUUAAAAAUUGGAUAAAAUUUCCCGUAAAAAGGAAUAAGCUAUUCAGUUUUUAAAAUUUAAUAGUUUCAUACGGUAAGUUAAAGGAAAUUAUUUAUAAAUAACUUGAUCUCAAAUCAGAUAAGAGUACCCGCUGAACUUAAGCAUAUCAAUAAGCGGAGGAAAAGAAACUAACAAGGAUUCCCUUAGUAACGGCGAGUGAAGCGGGAAGAGCUCAAAUUUGAAAUCUUCAAGGUUUACCUUGACGAACUGUAGUUUAAAGAAGUGUUUUCUGUUAGAGGAGUGGCAAAAGUUCUUUGGAAUAGGACAUCAUAGAGGGUGAGAAUCCCGUAUUUGUCAUUCUUUCUAGCUGUGUGAUACACUUUCAAAGAGUCGGAUUGUUUGGGAAUGCAGUCCAAAAUGGGUGGUAAAUUUCAUCUAAAGCUAAUAUUGGCGAGAGACCGAUAGCGAACAAGUACCGUGAGGGAAAGAUGAAAAGAACUUUGAAAAGAGAGUUAAACAGUACGUGAAAUUGUCAAAAGGGAAGCGUUUGACACCAGUGUUGUUUUUCCGAAAUCAAUUGUGCUGGCUGGAUUUGUAGAGUUUGACCUUAUCAGCUUUCUGCUUUUUUCCGGUCUGUGAAUGCACUUUUCGGUUAACAAGUCAACAUCAAUUUCUUUGUUGUAAAAGGGUAAUGGAAGUGGCUUUCUUUCGGAGAAGUGUUUAUAGCCUUUUACCUCUACAUCGGAGAUUGAGGUCUGCAGCGUAGAUCCUUCGGGGUUAGAUACAUUGUGCUAAGUUAUAGCCUGUAUAGACAACUUGUUGACUAUAUCGGUCAUGUAGUUACUCGCUUAUGCUAUUUUACCUACGCUUAGGAUGU